ensembl:lncRNA novel transcript
AAGGAGGAGAAAGAGCCAGCUGCAGAAAGCCAACAAGAGGGGUGUUUGAUGCAAAGAAAAUCAUAAACCGACCCCCAGCUGGAAAUGAUCCUAACCUGUGGAAGCUCCUGAAUUGAGUGAGGGACUGGCCGGCAGGAGAGAGUCUCACUCUAGCACCCAGGAUGGAGUGCAGUGGCACAAUCUCAGCUCACUGCAACCUCCGCCUCCUUGGUUCAAGUGAUUCUUCUGCCUCAGCCUCCCAAGUAGCUGGGAUUACAGGGUGCAGAUCUGCGUAGUGAAACUACCCACAGCAAGGAUGUAUGCCUGUGAGGUGGCACAGAACUGAUGGAUCAGACUUGGCCUUCAACCUCCUGUUAUCCUGAUGAAAUUGCAAGCUCCAAACAACAGAGACACAACAUUGACCAACAGUAAGAUGGCUUGAAGAAAUAUUUCUUUCAGGACAAACUCUGUGCAUUCCAUGAGGGUGGAUGGAUGGACUUAUGAGGACAAAGCCACUGACAUCAUGAGCAGGAAACAAUGCUUCUCUCAAGCUGCAGCUUCGAAAUGUCAAACAGCCUCUUCCUUGGGUGACAACUGCUUUCUGACUCAAAGGAAGACCUUGCUCUCCAGCAUCAGGGGCUGUCAGAAACUUUGCUUUUGAGUAAGUACAACAUCACACUGCCUGGAGGAUCUAGGUCCACCUUUACACAGAAGCACAGAGCUACAGAGAAGGGGUUUCUGGAUGGAACAUUCACAUCUGGCUGGACUUCAUGGGUUCUAAGGACAGAGGACCUGGGUCCACUUUGCAGACCAGACUUGACACUGGCUGCUUUACACUUAGGACUGCUACGUUGUGAGUCCAUCACUACAGCCUCAAGAAUCCCUCCCCACAGUCUUAUAAUAACCUCUUUGCUUUGUUUUUUUAGUCAUCCCAGGUUUCUUAAUGUGAAUUUAUUCCCUUUUUGCUACAAGCCAAUAAUCCUGAGUCUGUUAACUGCAAAAUCAGUUUUGGUGACUGAAUGCACUAGGAUGUAUAUUAGUUUCUGGAAUUUGGGAUGACUGUAGCAUUUUUCAGCAUUUUAAAGUGAGUAAUUUGUUGUGACUUAUUUCCUUUUCUUAAAUAAACACUAACUUCUGUGUUUAGUUUCAAA